CCUACGGGAGGCUGCAGUGGGGAAUAUUGCACAAUGGGGGGAACCCUGAUGCAGCGACGCCGCGUGAGUGAAGAAGUAUUUCGGUAUGUAAAGCCCUAUCAGCAGGGAAGAAAAUGACGGUACCUGACUAAGAAGCCCCGGCUAACUACGUGCCAGCAGCCGCGGUAAUACGUAGGGGGCAAGCGUUAUCCGGAUUUACUGGGUGUAAAGGGCGCGUAGACGGUUAUGCAAGUCUGAAGUGAAAGCCGAAGGCUUAACCAUGGGACUGCUGUGGAAACUGUAAAACUGGAGUGCAGGAGAGGUAAGCGGAAUUCCUGGUGUAGCGGUGAAAUGCGUAGAUAUUAGGAGGAACACCAGGGGCGAAGGCGGCUUACUGGACUGUAACUGACGUUGAGGCUCGAAGGCGUGGGGAGCAAACAGGAUUAGAUACCCUAGUAGUC
rnacentral:rRNA from 1 species